AGGAUGAACGCUAGCGGCAGGCCUAACACAUGCAAGUCGAGGGGCAUCGCGGUGCAGCAAUGCACUGGCGGCGACCGGCGUACGGGUGCGUAACGCGUAUGCAACCUGCCCCGCACCGGGGGAUAGCCCGCCGAAAGGCGGAUUAAUACCCCAUGGUCCCGGGGGCCCGCAUGGGCAUCCGGGUAAAGCCUUGGCGGUGCGGGAUGGGCAUGCGUGCCAUUAGCUGGCUGGUGGGGUAACGGCCCACCAGGGCAACGAUGGCUAGGGGGUCUGAGAGGAUGGUCCCCCACACUGGUACUGAGACACGGACCAGACUCCUACGGGAGGCAGCAGUGAGGAAUAUUGGUCAAUGGGCGGAAGCCUGAACCAGCCAUGCCGCGUGCGGGAUGAAGGCCCUACGGGUUGUAAACCGCUUUUCCCCGGGAAGAAUAACCCCGAUGAGUCGGGGGAUGCCGGUACCGGGGGAAUAAGGAUCGGCUAACUCCGUG
rnacentral:rRNA from 1 species